CCUAUGCGCCAGCAGCAAUGGCUUGUGGUUCCAAUUCAACUUGAAAGAGACUGCUUGCUUAUAAAGCUUGGCUAGAAUAAAAUUCUAUCGUAUAUCCGUAGCGUUUUAAAUGUGUACAUAACCGACAUUUGGCGUAUGAACUGAAGAGACAAAUCU
rnacentral:snoRNA from 13 species